rnacentral:rRNA from 1 species
AUUGAACGCUGGCGGCAGGCCUAACACAUGCAAGUCGAGCGAGCGGCGGACGGGUGAGCAAUGUCUGGGAAACUGCCUGAUGGAGGGGGAUAACUACUGGAAACGGUAGCUAAUAUCGCAUACCAUCAGAUUGGCCCAGAUGGGAUUAGCUAGUAGGUGGGGUAAAGGCCAACAAGGGCCACGAUCCGUAACUGGUCGGAGGGGUUGAUCAGUCACACUGGAACUGAGACACGGUCCGGACUCCUACGGGAGGCAGCAGUGGGGAAUCUUGGCCAAUGGGCGAAAGCCGGAUCCAGCCAGUCCGCGUGUGUGAAGAAGGUCUUCGGAUUGUAAAGCACUUUAAGUUGGGAGGCGUUACCAACAGAAUAAGCACCGGCUAACUUCGUGCCAGCAGCCGCGGUAAUAC